UACGGGGGGGGCAAGCGUUGUUCGGAAUUACUGGGCGUAAAGGGCGCGUAGGCGGUUUGCUAAGUUGAAUGUGAAGACUCUGGGCUUAACCCAGAGCCUGCAUUCAAUACUGGCAGGCUAGAGUUCUGGAGGGGAUAGCGGAAUUCCUGGUGUAGCGGUGAAAUGCGUAGAUAUCAGGAGGAACACCUAUAGCGAAGGCAGCUUGCUGGGACGUUACUGACGCUAAGGCGCGAAAGCGUGGGGAGCGAACAGG
rnacentral:rRNA from 1 species